AGAUUGAGAGACUGUCUCCAGGUAAAUGAUGUGAGUGUGUUUGCAUAUUGAUCAGAUGCUUCAGUGCUCUGAGAGUGUUUAUAGUGCUGUGAGUUUAACACUUCAUCACUGACACACACAACAAUCUUCAUCAACAUGACCUUCAUCAUCAUCUUCAUCUGGACUCUCACAGCGUUUGCUCAAGAGUGUAGAGGACAGAUCAGCGUCACUCAGAGUCCCUCAACGACAGCAGCUCAACCAGGAGAAACAGUGAAGAUCAACUGUAAAACCAGCAAAGAUGUGUACAGUGGUAAUCGUUUAGCCUGGUACUUACAGAAACCUGGAGAAGCUCCUAAACUCCUGAUUUAUUAUACAAGCAGUCUCCAGUCAGGAACUCCAUCUAGAUUCAGUGGCAGUGGAUCUAACAGUGAUUUCACUCUGACCAUCAGUGGAGUCCAGACUGAAGAUGCUGGACAUUAUUACUGUCAGAGUUUCCACUACAUCAACAGUAAAGAUGUGUUCACACAGUGAUUGUGAGUGGUACAAAAACCUGUGUCAGUCAGAGUCACAGUGACUGAACUGAUGCUGCAGCUGAUCAAACACUAUCACUCACUACUGACACACAGAGACCAAACACAGAACUACACAUGAGCUCACAACUGAGUUAGGACUCACAUCAGCUCUACUAGACUCAGAUCUGUGACGGACGGGUUUGUCUCAGUUAUGCUCUGAUUUUGUGAUGAAUUGAUAUCAAAUCAAUCCAAAAACACACAAAUGUUUCUCUGUUACAGUUAGGUAGUUUUUAUGUUUUUAUGUGUACUUACAAUCAUACUGAGAAACUUCCUCAUGAGCUCAGAACUUGUCUAAUAAAACUACGACUCAGUCUUCAUAACUGUCUCAUCAGUGCAUGAGCAGAAGUGAAACUGUUUCAGUUCAGAGAGAUGAACCGAUCAAACAGUGAAACUGUGAGUUUGAAUUUUAAUGGAUAUUAAAUAAAAUAUAUAAAGAAAUUAUUCAGUUUUACACUUAAUCUAACCCACUUAAUCUUAUUAAAUGUGUCUAAGUUCAUGUUGUUUCAUCGUCUAUCUGCUGGUGUUUUUUCACGGUCCGUUGAGUUAAGUUUUUCAGUUUUUUAUUUAAAUGUGAGUUAAAGCACUGAUCAAAAGAAAGACCUGAAACAAAAAUAACAAAAUAGAACACAAAGAUUAAAGUUACUAUUGUAUUUUAUUUAUUGACUGAAUUGUAAUAGCAUCAUAACUGAAUGAUAAAGCAGACACAUAUGUUCUUGUAUGAAGCACACAAAGCAGAGCAGAUGCAGAUGCGAGCGACUGAAGCUGGAUGUGGAGAAUGAAGGAGUCGCUCAUGUGCUGUUAGUCUCCAUGUGAGACAUGAGUGAGAAGAGCAGCAGAUCUACUCUGAACACUGCUGUCUCGUCACGUGUCCAGUGAGCGCAGGCUGACCGCUCCGUGUGGCCUCACAGCUCACUGAGACGCUCUCCAUCCACUCCUGCUCAGAGAGAGUCAGGCUGCUGCUCCAGCUGUACAGACCGUCCUUCUCCAGGAGCCCAGCGCUGCUCUCCUGAGACCUGCUGCUCCCGUCCACCUUCCAGCUCAGGCUCCAGUCUGACGGGAAGCCCUUGCUGGCCACACACACCAGUGUCGCUGUCUUCUUUGAGGAGAUCUCUGCACUGGAGGGCGGCAGGACGCUCACUUUAGGACGAGUGACGC